GACAGAGGGUGCAAACGUUGUUCGGAAUUACUGGGCGUAAAGCGCUUGUAGGUGGUUGGAUAAGUCUAUUGUGAAAUUUCCCGGCUUAACUGGGAAGGGUCAAUGGAAACUGUCUGGCUUGAGUGUGGCAGGGGGUGACGGAAUUCCCGGUGUAGCGGUGAAAUGCGUAGAUAUAGGAAGGAACACCAGUGGCGAAGGCGACCACCUGGACUGAUACUGACACUGAGGUGCGAAAGCGUGGGGAGCAAACAGG
rnacentral:rRNA from 1 species